GUAUCUACAUAAGCUACACGUCAGAUAGCAGAUUUGAUCUCUAUAAUCAGAUCUACUUUGGUUCAUUAAGAGGAAACAAUGAAAGAGUUUAAAUCUGUACAAAGAUUGCCGAUCCUAGAGCAUGUAAAUUCGACAGAGAAUGUCAAACAAUUUCCCGAUCUCAGUGUGUUGCAAAUAGACAUUGAAUGAGGUUUUGUUGUGUAUAAUCGGAUGAAAUAAAUUUUCUUCUCUAUACUGUGAAUGUAUUAUGAAAUUAUCCACCUUACGCAUGAUCAAUAAUUUAUGAAACUAUAUUUUAGUGUAUUAAGAGGUACGUGCAACCACCGAGAGAGAAAUCUUAUGCCCCAGAAAAAUUUUACUGUCCUCCGACGAAACCCAUUGAUGCUAAAACAACUUAUCAUCUAUCAUACUUGAAUGUUGACCGAGCAACAGCUGGUCAUGCUAAAACGCGAGCUUUCAAGCCUGUUCACUCAUUGGACACAUCUACCGGAAAAAUUUCAGAUGAAACAACAAAUCGUAUGAGCUUUCGUGCCAAUUGGGGUAUUUGCAAAGCUAAAGCAUAUACGCCUACACGCAGGACUCAAGCAGGGCAGGGUCCAAUGCAAUGUACCA
rnacentral:misc_RNA from 1 species